rnacentral:rRNA from 1 species
AGAGUUUGAUCCUGGCUCAGGACGAAUGCUGGCGGCGCGCCUAACACAUGCAAGUCGAACGGAGCUUAGAGAGCUUGCUUUUUAAGCUUAGUGGCGAACGGGUGAGUAACGCGUGAGUAACCUGCCCUAGAGUGUGGGACAACAGUUGGAAACGACUGCUAAUACCGCAUAAGCCCACGGUACCGCAUGGUACUGAGGGAAAAGGAUUUAUUCGCUUUAGGAUGGACUCGCGUCCAAUUAGCUAGUUGGUGAGGUAACGGCCCACCAAGGCGACGAUUGGUAGCCGGACUGAGAGGUUGAACGGCCACAUUGGGACUGAGACACGGCCCAGACUCCUACGGGAGGCAGCAGUGGGGGAUAUUGCACAAUGGGGGAAACCCUGAUGCAGCGACGCCGCGUGGAGGAAGAAGGUUUUCGGAUUGUAAACUCCUGUCGUUAGGGACGAUAAUGACGGUACCUAACAAGAAAGCACCGGCUAACUACGUGCCAGCAGCCGCGGUAAAACGUAGGGUGCAAGCGUUGUCCGGAAUUACUGGGUGUAAAGGGAGCGCAGGCGGGAAGACAAGUUGGAAGUGAAAACCAUGGGCUCAACCCAUGAAUUGCUUUCAAAACUGUUUUUCUUGAGUAGUGCAGAGGUAGAUGGAAUUCCCGGUGUAGCGGUGGAAUGCGUAGAUAUCGGGAGGAACACCAGUGGCGAAGGCGGUCUACUGGGCACCAACUGACGCUGAGGCUCGAAAGCAUGGGUAGCAAACAGGAUUAGAUACCCUGGUAGUCCAUGCCGUAAACGAUGAUUACUAGGUGUUGGGGGAUUGACCCCCUCAGUGCCGCAGUUAACACAAUAAGUAAUCCACCUGGGGAGUACGACCGCAAGGUUGAAACUCAAAGGAAUUGACGGGGGCCCGCACAAGCAGUGGAGUAUGUGGUUUAAUUCGAAGCAACGCGAAGAACCUUACCAGGUCUUGACAUCGAGUGACGUACCUAGAGAUAGGUAUUUUCUUCGGAACACAAAGACAGGUGGUGCAUGGUUGUCGUCAGCUCGUGUCGUGAGAUGUUGGGUUAAGUCCCGCAACGAGCGCAACCCUUACCAUUAGUUGCUACGCAAGAGCACUCUAAUGGGACUGCCGUUGACAAAACGGAGGAAGGUGGGGAUGACGUCAAAUCAUCAUGCCCCUUAUGACCUGGGCUACACACGUACUACAAUGGCAAUAUAACAGAGGGAAGCAAUACAGCGAUGUGGAGCAAAUCCCCAAAAAUUGUCCCAGUUCAGAUUGCAGGCUGCAACUCGCCUGCAUGAAGUCGGAAUUGCUAGUAAUCGCAGAUCAGCAUGCUGCGGUGAAUACGUUCCCGGGCCUUGCACACACCGCCCGUCA